AAAAUCCCCGAUUCUGAAAGCAGAGACAUGAUGGGGAGUUAUAAGCGAUUAUGACGAACUCAUGGAUCCCACACUGCCAAGAAAAACUUCUAGCGAGACGAAAUCCGCCCGUACCGUAAACCGACACAGGUAGGCGGGGAGAGAAUCCUAAGGUGCGCGGGAAAACCCUCGUUAAGGAACUCGGCAAAUUGCAUCCGUAACUUCGGGAGAAGGAUGGCCCUGAGUAGGCGAAGUGCAAAACGCACGGAACAGAAAAGGGUGGCAGAAAAGAGGCCCAAGCAACUGUUUACCAAAAACACAGGUGCCUGCGAAAGCGAAAGCUGAAGUAUAGGUGCUGACGCCUGCCCGGUGCUGGAAGGUUAAGGAGAGAGGUUAGCGCAAGCGAAGCUUUGAACUGAAGCCCCAGUGAACGGCGGCCGUAACAAUAACGGUCCUAAGGUAGCGAAAUUCCUUGUCGGGUAAGUUCCGACCCGCAUGAAAGGCGUAAUGAUUUGGGCGCUGUCUCAACGAGGGGCCCGGUGAAAUUGAAAUACCUGUGAAGAUGCAGGUUACCCGCGACUGGACAGAAAGACCCCAUGGAGCUUUACUGCAGCUUGAGAUUGAAUCCCGGUGGCAGACGCACAGGAUAGGUGGGAGGCUUUGAGAUAGUGACUUUGGUUGCUAUGGAGCCGACGUUGGGAUACCACCCUUCUGUUGCUGGGAUUCUAACGCGAAGAUUAACAACCUUGCGGACCAUCUCAGGUAGGCGGUUUGACUGGGGCGGUCGCCUCCGAAAGAGUAACGGAGGCGCCCAAAGGUUCCCUCAGGCCGGACAGAAACCGGCCGAAGAGUGCAAAGGCAGAAGGUAGCUUGACUGCGAGACAGACAAGUCGAGCAGAGACGAAAGUCGGGCUUAGUGAUCCGGUGGUACUGCGUGGAAAGGCCAUCGCUCAACGGAUAAAAGCUACCCUGGGGAUAACAGGCUAAUCUCUCCCAAGAGUUCAUAUCGACGGGGAGGUUUGGCACCUCGAUGUCGGCUCAUCACAUCCUGGAGCUGGAGUAGGUUCCAAGGGUUGGGCUGUUCGCCCAUUAAAGUGGUACGCGAGCUGGGUUCAAAACGUCGUGAGACAGUUUGGUUCAUAUCCAUCGCGGGCGCAAGAAGUUUGAGGGAGGCUGCUCCUAGUACGAGAGGACCGGAGUGGACGGAUCAACGGUGUACCAGUUGUCACGCCAGUGGCACGGCUGGGAAGCCGCAUCCGGAAAGGAUAAACGCUGAAAGCAUCUAAGCGUGAAGCCCGUCCCAAGAUGAGACUUCUCAUCAGCAAUGAGUAAGACCCCUUAAAGACGAUGAGGUUGAUAGGCUGUGAGUGGAAGAGCCGCGAGGCUUGGAGCGACGCAGUACUAAUAGGUCU
rnacentral:rRNA from 1 species